UACGUAGGGGGCAAGCGUUGUCCGGAUUUAUUGGGCGUAAAGCGCUCGCAGGUGGUUCGUUGCGUCGUGCGUGAAAGGCCCCGGCUCAACUGGGGAGGGUCGUGCGAUACGGGCGGACUGGAGGCCAGUAGGGGGAUGCGGAAUUCCGGGGUGUAGUGGUGGAAUGCGUAGAGAUCCGGAGGAACACCAGCGGCGAAGGCGGCAUCCUGGACUGGUCCUGACACUCAGGAGCGAAAGCGUGGGGAGCGAACAGG
rnacentral:rRNA from 1 species